CAUCUUUGGCGCAAUCCUGUGGGCUUGGUGACUGUGCCAGUGCACGGGCCACUAGUCAGUUCACUUUUGCUAUGCAGCGUCCGGGAGAAGCCGAGGUGCCCGGCGGUAGGAUCGUCAUGCAAGGCACGCAGUACUUUUGGACGCAGCGCCGAGGGAACAAGAAGAAGGUAGUUGGAAGGGGAAUGGCUGUAGACGACAUGAACCUGCAUGAUGAACCAAAUUGAAGCUCGAAGUGUCGGAAAGUUCCUCCAUUUGAAGGGCAACAACACAACACAUGCCAAAUCCAUGGCGAAAUGAAAGCUUUCUAAUGGAAUGAAAACCAAUUAUAGGACCCGGUUGUGAGAUCGAAGAGGAAUUGUCAAAAUGGUCACAUGUCCCUGACAGACGAGCCACGAGCGGGUAGACCCUCAAUCAAGGAUGAUCUUACCAUAGUGAAGAAGGUGGAGGCCGUUAUCCUCGACGGCAGGAGAUCGACAGUAGAAAGAGUGAUGGCGGCGACUGGACUAAGUUGGUAAACUGCAGGGAGGAAUACUCAUUAGGAAGUGCAGAUGAAUAACGUGUCUGCACGCUGGGUACCUCGCUAGUUGACACCUUUUCAAAAGCAAAUUCGCCACGACCAUUCCCAGAAGAAUAUGACUCUGCUGGAGUGGAAUCGCGACGAUUUUUUGGCCCAUCUCGUCAAUAUGAACGAGUGCUAGGUAUACCUCUGCAAUCCGGAGACCAAAGAAAUGAGCAUGGAGUGGAAACAUUCAUCCUCCCUCCACACAAAAAGGCGAAGGUACAGAAAUAUGUCGGGAAGGUGAUGCUGUCCAUUUUUAGGUAUAGCCGUCCGGUAAUCUUAACCGAUUAUCUUCCGAAGGGUGAGACACUGAACAGCGAUUGCUACUGAAAGCUUCUGGAGAAACUGCUGGAUGAAUUGAAAGAAAUAUGUCGCGGCAUAAUCAGCAAAGGCAUUCGUCUCCUGGCCGACAAUGCACCCGUCCAUAUGACCCAAGCAUCCGUUGCAGCCUCCCACUGGUUCGGCUAUGAACUUUUGCAGCAUCCCCCUUAUUCGCCUGAUCUUGCACCAAGCUACUUCUUCCUCUUUCCUGAGAUGAAGACACGCCUUCCUGGUCGACGAUUUGACGACAGAGAGGAUGUCAUUUUCGAGGUGGAACAGUGGUUUUAGAGCAAAGCGGAGGGCUCCUACGAAGAGGGUUUGAAAUGGGUGAAGAAACACUGGUAAAAAUGUGUGAUUCUGGAGCGAGACAACGCGGAGAAAAACUAACUUUGACUAGUGCAAGUGACUAUUCUAUGUUUUUAUUUUUAUUUUUGGUGAUAAUUAAAACUUUUGGAUACCGUCUCGUAAGAUGGAAGAACAAGCAUGUGCUUUCAAUUCAAUUCAAGUCUUAAUUCAA